AACGAACGCUUGCGGCGCGCCUAAUACAUGCAAGUCGAACGAGGUAGCAAUACCAAGUGGCGCACGGGUGAGUAACACGUGGAUAAUGUGCCAUUCAGUGGGGAAUAACUGACCGAAAGGUUAGCUAAUACCGCAUGAGACCACAGUCCCUGAGGGGAACCGAGGUUAAAGAUUUAUCGCUGAAUGAUCAGUCUGCGUAAGAUUAGCUAGUUGGUGAGGUAANGGCUCACCAAGGCAACGAUCUUUAAGUGGUCUGAGAGGAUGACCACUCACACUGGAACUGAGACACGGGUCCAGACUCCUACGGGAGGCAGCAGUAGGGAAUAUUGCACAAUGGGGGAAACCCUGAUGCAGCG
rnacentral:rRNA from 1 species